GACGAACGCUGGCGGCGUGCUUAACACGUGCAAGUCGAACGGAAAGGCCCUGCUUUUGUGGGGUGCUCGAGUGGCGAACGGGUGAGUAACACGUGAGUAACCUGCCCUAGACUUUGGGAUAACUUCAGGAAACUGGGGCUAAUACCGGAUAGCAGCUCCUGCUGCAUGGUGGGGGUUGGAAAGUUUCGGCGGUUGGGGAUGGACUCGCGGCUUAUCAGCUUGUUGGUGGGGUAGUGGCUUACCCAGGCUUUGACGGGUAGCCGGCCUGAGAGGGUGACCGGCCACAUUGGGCCUGAGAUACGGCCCAGACUCCUACGGGAGGCAGCAGUGGGGAAUAUUGCACAAUGGGCGGAAGCCUGAUGCAGCAACGCCGCGUGCGGGAUGACGGCCUUCGGGUUGUAAACCGCUUUCGCCUGUGACGAAGCGUGAGUGACGGUAAUGGGUAAAGAAGCACCGGCUAACUACGUG
rnacentral:rRNA from 1 species